rnacentral:rRNA from 1 species
ACGGGAGGCAGCAGUGAGGAAUAUUGGUCCAUGGGCGGAAGCCUGAACCAGCCAAGUCGCGUGAAGGAUGAAGGUAUUAUGUAUUGUAAACUUCUUUAGCAGUGGAGUAAUAAGGGGAUCGUGAUCCCUGAUGCAAGUACACUGAAAAUAAGGAUCGGCUAACUCCGUGCCAGCAGCCGCGGUAAUACGGAGGAUCCGAGCGUUAUCCGGAUUUAUUGGGUUUAAAGGGUGCGCAGGCGGCUUUUUAAGUCAGCGGUAAAGUCGUGGGGCUCAACCCGAUCCUGCCGUUGAUACUGGAGAGCUUGAUUGCGGUUGAGGUUGGCGGAAUUCGUCGUGUAGCGGUGAAAUGCAUAGAUAUGACGAAGAACUCCGAUUGCGUAGGCAGCUGACCAAGCCGUAAAUGACGCUCAUGCACGAAAGUGCGGGGAUCGAACAGGAUUAGAUACCCUGGUA